GUCUGAAUAGUUUAAUUUAAAAUGCUGAUUUGUGGUGUCGGUGAUGUAGUUUUAUUGCUUUGGACU
rnacentral:tRNA from 1 species